rnacentral:rRNA from 1 species
GACGAACGCUGGCGGCGUGCCUAAUACAUGCAAGUAGAACGCACAGUUUAUACCGUAGCUUGCUACACCAUAAACUGUGAGUUGCGAACGGGUGAGUAACGCGUAGGUAACCUGCCUGGUAGCGGGGGAUAACUAUUGGAAACGAUAGCUAAUACCGCAUAAUAUUGAUUAUUGCAUGAUAAUUGAUUGAAAGAUGCUAUUGCAUCACUACCAGAUGGACCUGCGUUGUAUUAGCUAGUAGGUGAGGUAACGGCUCACCUAGGCGACGAUACAUAGCCGACCUGAGAGUGUGCUCGGCCACACUGGGACUGAGACACGGCCCAGACUCCUACGGGAGGCAGCAGUAGGGAAUCUUCGGCAAUGGACGAAAGUCUGACCGAGCAACGCCGCGUGAGUGAAGAAGGUUUUCGGAUCGUAAAGCUCUGUUGUAAGAGAAGAACGGGUGUGAGAGUGGAAAGUUCACACUGUGACGGUAUCUUACCAGAAAGGGACGGCUAACUACGUG